rfam:Medicago truncatula strain A17 chromosome 8, whole genome shotgun sequence.
UUGGGUUAAAUCAAUGUGGGUCAUACACUUUGAAAAUAGAACCCACUUAAAAUGGUGGGACAUACAUUGAUUUUAUCCAA